UACGUAGGAUGCAAGCGUUGUCCGGAAUUACUGGGCGUAAAGGGCGAGCAGGUGGCAAGUCAAGUCUGAUGUAAAAUCUCCCGGCUUAACUGGGAGGGGCCAUUGGAAACUGGCUAGCUGGAGUGCAGGAGAGGCUAACGGAAUUCCCGGUGUAGUGGUGAAAUGCGUAGAUAUCGGGAGGAACACCAGUGGCGAAGGCGGUUAGCUGGCGUGUAACUGACACUGAGGCGCGAAGGCUAGGGGAGCGAACAGG
rnacentral:rRNA from 1 species